CUUGAUUAUUAAUAGUUAUGUUCUUUAAAUUUGAAGAAUUUGGCGGUAGUUUAGUCUUGCUAGAGGAACCUGUUUUUUAAACGAUAAUCCACGCAAUAUCUUACUUAUCUUUGUUUUCAGUUUGUAUACCGUCAUUAACAGAUAAUUUUAAAAGAAAAAAUUGUUGUAUAUUAAUAAAUUAAUAAAAUUAGAUCAAGGUGCAGCUUAUAGAGAAGUUAAAAUGGGUUACAAUAAAAUUUAUUUAUAAUGAAUAAAAUAAAGAACAUUAUUUUUGAAAGAGGAUUUAAUUGUAAUAAAAGUUUAAUAUGCUUUUAUGAGAUAAGCUCUAAAUUAUGUACAUAUUGCCCGUCGCUCGCGGGAAAAA
rnacentral:rRNA from 1 species